rnacentral:rRNA from 1 species
UACAGAGGUCUCAAGCGUUGUUCGGAUUCAUUGGGCGUAAAGGGCGCGUAGGCGGCGGGGUAAGUCGGGUGUGAAAUCUCAGAGCUCAACUCUGAAACUGCACUCGAUACUGCUCUGCUUGAGGACUGGAGAGGAGACUGGAAUUCACGGUGUAGCAGUGAAAUGCGUAGAUAUCGUGAGGAAGACCAGUGGCGAAGGCGGGUCUCUGGACAGUUCCUGACGCUGAGGCGCGGAAGGCCAGGGGAGCAAACGGG